CCUACGGGAGGCAGCAGUGGGGAAUAUUGGACAAUGGGGGGAACCCUGAUCCAGCCAUGCCGCGUGUGUGAAGAAGGCCCUCGGGUUGUAAAGCACUUUCAGUGAGGAAGAACGCCUGGUGGUUAAUACCCAUCAGGAAAGACAUCACUCACAGAAGAAUCACCGGCUAACUCCGUGCCAGCAGCCGCGGUAAUACGGAGGGUGCGAGCGUUAAUCGGAAUUACUGGGCGUAAAGCGCGCGUAGGUGGCUUGAUAAGCCGGUUGUGAAAGCCCCGGGCUCAACCUGGGAACGGCAUCCGGAACUGCCAAGCUAGAGUGCAGGAGAGGAAGGUAGAAUUCCCGGUGUAGCGGUGAAAUGCGUAGAGAUCGGGAGGAAUACCAGUGGCGAAGGCGGCCUUCUGGACUGACACUGACACUGAGGUGCGAAAGCGUGGGUAGCAAACAGGAUUAGAUACCCCUGUAGUC
rnacentral:rRNA from 1 species